rnacentral:rRNA from 1 species
CCUACGGGAGGCAGCAGUGGGGAAUAUUGCACAAUGGGGGAAACCCUGAUGCAGCGACGCCGCGUGAAGGAAGAAGUAUUUCGGUAUGGAAACUUCUAUCAGCAGGGAAGAAAAUGACGGUACCCCAAUAGCAAUCCACGGCUAACUACGUGCCAGCAGCCGCGGUAAUACGUAGGUGGCAAGCGUUAUCCGGAAUGACUGGGCGUAAAGGGUGCGUAGGUGGUUUAGUAAGUUGGCGGUGUAAUUCCGGGGCUCAACCUCGGCGCUACCGCCAAAACUAGUAGACUAGAGUGCAGGAGGGGUAAGUGGAAUUCCUAGUGUAGCGGUGGAAUGCGUAGAGAUUAGGAGGAACAUCAGGGGCGAAGGCGACUUACUGGACUGUAACUGACACUGAGGCACGAAAGCGUGGGGAGCAAACAGGAUUAGAUACCCUUGUAGUC